CUCCAUACUGCAAAACAACUUUGGCCAUGCUUGUAUUACAAACUCUAACUCCCUUUCAAUUCCUUCACGAUCUCUCAACGGCAAACACGAGCAAGGCCGAAACCGGAUCUACCAAACCUAUUCGUUCCGCACUUUCGUUUUCCAAUGAAGCCAUGAGAAACCUCAAAUCCGGAACCAUCAUCAUCCAAAUUCCAGAUUAAAAUCCAAAUCGAUGGAGAGCAGAUGAAGAACAAGGUGUCGAGGUUUAAUCGAUUUCUGAAAUCAACAUCUAUAUCUAAAUCGGUUCAUUAUUGUGCGCGCCAAAUCGAAAGACGAAACGAGGCGAACGACACAAUGAACCGUGACGCAACGAAUCAGGGAUCGCGAGGAGUUGUGGAAGAGAAUUUACCGGACUUCGUGGUGCGAACAGAAUUGUCGUCGAGUUCUAUUGGUGUGGUUCCCUUUCCUUCUUUCGAAGCCUCCUGCUACCGUGCGUAUUGAAUCGUUUGCGUGAGUGAGGGUGAAGGAGGCUUGGUUGCAGAAUCUGGUGAGAUUUGGUUGUGGCGAUCAGUUGCGGAAUGGAGAUGUAAAAUCCAGAAUGAAGAGGAAAAAGAUAAUUGAGGAAGAAGAUGAGGAUGAUUGAAAAUUCUGCAGAAUGAAAGGUUAGCAGGUUUUUUCAGUUUCACAUUGCUGCAUUGGAGGCUUGGCUGCAGAAUCUGGUGAGAUCUGGUUGCGGCGUUCGGAAUGGAGAUGUAGAAUCCAGAAUGAGGAGGAAGAAGAUGAGGAUGAUUGAAAAUUCUGCAGAAUGAAAGGUUAGCAGGUUUUUUCAGUUUCACAUUGCUGCAUUGGAUGCCUACUUGCUAAUGGAUAUCCAAAUUUAAAGUGGUGACCUGGACUUAUUAAUGGAUGUUGGUUGUAUUAAUGGACAUGGUUUGGAUAUGGAUAUGAGAUGGAUUGGAUUGUAAAUUGGUUUAUGGAUUAUUGAAGGAUAUUUGAAAUGUUAAUGGAUACUUGAAUUGCUUAAUGGAUAAA